AAAUGAAUAGACGGGGGCCCGCACAAGCAGAGGAGCAUGUGGCUUAAUUCGAUGCAACGCGAAGAACCUUACCGGGGCUUGACAUGGGACUGCAACGGCGGUGAAAGCCGCCCGCCUUCGAGGGUGUCCCACAGGUGCUGCAUGGCUGUCGUCAGUUCGUGCCGUGAGGUGUUUGGUUAAGUCCAGCAACGAACGCAACCCCUGCGCCGUGUUGCCAUCGCGUAAAGGCGGGCACUCGCGGCGGACCGCCCGUUCACGCGGGAGGAGGGUGGGGACGACGUCAAGUCAGUAUGGCCCUUACGCCCCGGGCCGCACACGUGCUACAAUGGCGGGCACAGAGGGAAGCGAUGCCGCGAGGCGGAGCCAACCCCCAAAACCCGCCCCAGUUCGGAUCGGAGUCUGCAACCCGACUCCGUGAAGCCGGAUUUGCUAGUAACGGCGCAUCAGCCACGGCGCCGUGAAUACGUUCCCGGGCCUUGUACACACCGCCCGU
rnacentral:rRNA from 1 species